AAACUUUCAACAACGGAUCUCUUGGCUCCGGCAACGAUGAAGAACGCAGCGAAUUGCGAUAAGUAAUGCGAAUCGCAGAACCCAGUGAGUCAUCGAAUUUUUGAACGCACAUUGCGCCUGCCAGCUCGUUCUGGCAGGCAUGCCUGUCCGAGCGUCGUCUU
rnacentral:rRNA from 1 species